rnacentral:lncRNA from 1 species
UGAUCUAGCCGGAAAAACCGUGGAUCUGACUCGUUCGGCCAUGGAUGGCCAGGAAAAGUCCAUAGAUAGAAGUUUAGCCAAGACUGGACUAUAUCCCUUUGAGAUCUAUCCAUGAAAUCUUGAAAACAAGAAACCAGGAGACAUAGGAGACUGCUGCACAUCUGAAAAAAAGCCAUCAAGUCCAUGGAUUGGGUGAGGAUUUAAGGGGUUUAAGGUGGAUUUAGCUGGCGGUGGCUAGGGUUAGCCUUACGUUUUAGAGAGAGUUUGAGAGGAGGUGGGAUUCAAG